AACGAACGCUGGCGGUAUGCUUAACACAUGCAAGUCGUACGUGAAGGGGACUUCGGUCCCUGGAAAGUGGCGCACGGGUGAGUAACACGUGGAUAAUCUGCCCGGUGGUUUGGGAUAACAUCUCGAAAGGGGUGCUAAUACCAGAUAAGCCCACGAUAUCUUCGGAUGUUGCGGGAAAAGGGGCUUUUAGCUCCUGUCACCGGAUGAGUCCGCGGCCCAUUAGCUAGUUGGUGGGGUAAUGGCCCACCAAGGCGACGAUGGGUAGCUGGUCUGAGAGGAUGAUCAGCCACACUGGAACUGAGACACGGUCCAGACACCUACGGGUGGCUG
rnacentral:rRNA from 1 species